UACGUAGGGUGCGAGCGUUGUCCGGAAUUAUUGGGCGUAAAGAGCUCGUAGGCGGUGUGUCGCGUCGGCCGUGAAAACCUGGGGCUUAACUCUGGGCGUGCGGUCGAUACGGGCAUCACUGGAGUUCGGCAGGGGAGACUGGAAUUCCUGGUGUAGCGGUGAAAUGCGCAGAUAUCAGGAGGAACACCGGUGGCGAAGGCGGAUCUCUGGGCCGUAACUGACGCUGAGGAGCGAAAGCAUGGGGAGCGAACAGG
rnacentral:rRNA from 1 species